UACGUAGGGUGCAAGCGUUGUCCGGAUUUAUUGGGUUUAAAGGGUGCGUAGGCGGUUCUUUAAGUCCGGGGUGAAAGCCCACUGCUCAACAGUGGAACUGCCCUGGAAACUGGAGAACUUGAGUACAGACGAGGGCGGCGGAAUGGAGGGUGUAGCGGUGAAAUGCAUAGAUACCCUCCAGAACCCCGAUUGCGAAGGCAGCUGCCUAGACUGUAACUGACGCUGAGGCACGAAAGCGUGGGGAGCGAACAGG
rnacentral:rRNA from 1 species